UGAUACCCGGGUCAAAAGGUCUAAACCCACAUAAGCUCGCUCAUAGGUGGAUGAAAAACCUUGGAACCCGCCCCAAUAUGAGCAUAAAAGCAGGAUGAUAAUCCCACGAUAUGCUAAUAUUGGGUAGGUUUGUUGGAGUGCGUAGCACGUAACAAUCCGCAGGUAUCA
rnacentral:sRNA from 10 species